rnacentral:tRNA from 1 species
UCCAGGGUCGUUUAACGGUAGGACAACAGACUUUGACUCUGUCGACGUGGGUUCGACCCCUACCCCUGGAACCA